rnacentral:pre_miRNA from 1 species
UUCACCUGGGGUUUUGUUAAAAUGCAGAUUCUGAUUCCGUAGUUCUGGGGUGGGCCUGAGAUUCUGCAUCUUUAACAAGCUCUCAAGUGAUGCUAA